AAUGCACCAAUUUGUAACUCGCUCUGGAUAAGAGCGUCUGCUAAAUGACGUAAA
rfam:Salmo salar isolate Sally breed double haploid chromosome ssa15, whole genome shotgun sequence.